CAGGCCUAACACAUGCAAGUCGAGCGGUAACAGGGAUAGCUUGCUAUCUGCUGACGAGCGGCGGACGGGUGCGUAACGCGUAGGAAUUUGCCCGAUAGUGGGGGAUAGCCCGGAGAAAUUCGGAUUAAUACCGCAUACCUUCUACGGAAGAAAGCAGGGGAUCUUCGGACCUUGCGCUAUCGGAUGAGCCUGCGUCGGAUUAGCUAGUUGGUAGGGUAAAUGCCUACCAAGGCGACGAUCCGUAGCUGGUCUGAGAGGAUGAUCAGCCACACUGGGACUGAGACACGCCCAGACUCCUACGGGAGGCAGCAGUGGGGAAUAUUGCACAAUGGGCGCAAGCCUGAUGCAGCCAUGCCGCGUGUGUGAAGAAGGCCCUAGGGUUGUAAAGCACUUUCAGCGAGGAGGAAGGGUAUCUUGCUAAUAUCAAGGUACAUUGACGUUACUCGCAGAAGAAGCACCGGCUAACUCCGUGCCAGCAGCCGCGGUAAUACGGAGGGUGCAAGCGUUAAUCGGAAUUACUGGGCGUAAAGCGUGCGUAGGCGGUUAAAUAAGUUGGAUGUGAAAGCCCUGGGCUCAACCUAGGAACUGCACCCAAAACUGUUUAACUAGAGUACGAGAGAGGAGUGUGGAAUUUCCUGUGUAGCGGUGGAAUGCGUAGAUAUAGGAAGGAACACCAGUGGCGAAGGCGGCACUCUGGCUCGAUACUGACGCUGAGGUACGAAAAGCAUGGGUAGCAAACAGGAUUAGAUA
rnacentral:rRNA from 1 species